rnacentral:rRNA from 1 species
GAAAGGCGAAAAGAACCCCGGCGAGGGGAGUGAAAAAGAACCUGAAACCGUGUACGUACAAGCAGUGGGAGCCUCUUUUAUGGGGUGACUGCGUACCUUUUGUAUAAUGGGUCAGCGACUUAUAUUCUGUAGCAAGGUUAACCGAAUAGGGGAGCCGAAGGGAAACCGAGUCUUAACCGGGCGUUAAGUUGCAGGGUAUAGACCCGAAACCCGGUGAUCUAGCCAUGGGCAGGUUGAAGGUUGGGUAACACUAACUGGAGGACCGAACCGACUAAUGUUGAAAAAUUAGCGGAUGACUUGUGGCUGGGGGUGAAAGGCCAAUCAAACCGGGAGAUAGCUGGUUCUCCCCGAAAGCUAUUUAGGUAGCGCCUCGUGAAUUCAUCUCCGGGGGUAGAGCACUGUUUCGGCAAGGGGGUCAUCCCGACUUACCAACCCGAUGCAAACUGCGAAUACCGGAGAAUGUUAUCACGGGAGACACACGGCGGGUGCUAACGUCCGUCGUGAAGAGGGAAACAACCCAGACCGCCAGCUAAGGUCCCAAAGUCAUGGUUAAGUGGGAAACGAUGUGGGAAGGCCCAGACAGCCAGGAUGUUGGCUUAGAAGCAGCCAUCAUUUAAAGAAAGCGUAAUAGCUCACUGGUCGAGUCGGCCUGCGCGGAAGAUGUAACGGGGCUAAACCAUGCACCGAAGCUGCGGCAGCGACACUGUGUGUUGUUGGGUAGGGGAGCGU